AUUGAACGCUGGCGGCAUGCCUUACACAUGCAAGUCGAACGGCAGCACGGGAGCAAUCCUGGUGGCGAGUGGCGAACGGGUGAGUAAUAUAUCGGAACGUGCCCAGUCGUGGGGAUAACGUAGCGAAAGCUACGCUAAUACCGCAUACGAUCUAUGGAUGAAAGCGGGGGAUCGCAAGACCUCGCGCGAUUGGAGCGGCCGAUAUCAGAUUAGGUAGUUGGUGAGGUAAAGGCUCACCAAGCCGACGAUCUGUAGCUGGUCUGAGAGGACGACCAGCCACACUGGGACUGAGACACGGCCCAGACUCCUACGGGAGGCAGCAGUGGGAAUUUUGGACAAUGGCGCAAGCCUGAUCCAGCAAUGCCGCGUGCAGGAUGAA
rnacentral:rRNA from 1 species